rnacentral:lncRNA from 1 species
GCAUCUGCUACGAAUGAUAGAUUUUUGGUUUGCUCACCUAUGGCUUUGCGCAUCAGGUCAGCCUUCUUUCGUGACCAAUCAUGCGUUGCACGCCAGGCAUUGAAAGUGGUGAAUAGCAACCGACGAUACCACAUCCCGACUGCGGAACGAAGCUUGUCCACUGCUGCAUGGCGUGCUACAAUGCACGUGGUCCAUCUUCUAAACGAGGUGGAUAGGAUCCCGUGAGACCGCCGGCCUGUUUAAAAAAUAACGAUCGCUAGUGCAACAAUCACCGUGGAGUAAAACAUGCAUGUGGCUAUAGCAUCGGUCUGCACGCCCGCUAACAUUUUCACGGUGCUUUGAUGAGAUUGAAAAUAUGCAUCAAUGUGUUUACCUUUAAAGAAAAUAAAGUGGACAUAAAUGUUGUUAUUGACAAAGACCCCUCGUGCCCACCUUGUGCUUCGACAAGGCAUGCUUGUAGAUCAGCUUUGUGCGCAGUGCGCGCCUUCCAAGUUAUAAAGCUUGUGUAUAUUGUCCUGUUGUGCCAGUGGAGGACCACAGAGUGCAACAACUUAUGCUUGGCAAUCCGUGCCGUCGCCCAUGGCGCCCAAGCUUUCCAUGCCCUUGACAAUUUGUUUUCUCGCCAGUGAGUGACGCUUGCUUGAAUUGCUUUGGUCUUGCCUUCUUUCUUCUGAAUGAUGGCCUGGCCAAGAAAAUGUUACCAUUAAAAAUGU